UUGUAGAACUAUUGGACAGCAUAAAUACUGGAUUUCAUAACAUAAUACAAAAUAUUAUCAAUAGGACAAUAUAUAAUUACCUUUUUGAGAAUGCAUACAAAUUGAUGUUUCCUCACCACCUAUUACUGUUCUAAAUUAAGGUUGUUAAAAGUAAAAUGAAAUCAAAAUCUCAACAAGAAUUUCCUUCUAAAGAUUGGUAUCUAACAGAUAUGACUGAUCUAUUUUGAAAGAAAAUAGAUCUAAAAAUUAAAAUAAAUUGAGAGUAAACAAUUAAAAUCAUAUGGCACGAAAUGAAAAUCAAUAAGUAGCACUACAUUGAAGUUGCACUCUGUUUUAAAGGAGGAGAUUCCUUAGGUCAGACAUCAGAAUGGUAGUAAUUCAGUCAACAUAUGUAAUGAUAUACAGUCACCGUUUUACGCAGAAAAUACACAAGAAAUGAAUAAUAGUGAGAAAUAAUUUUGUAAUCUGUUCAUGAAUUGAAUAAAGA
rnacentral:lncRNA from 1 species